GAAUGAACAAUUAUAUGAGGGUAUUUUUGAGAUUUUACACUUCCACAGCUGACACGUAUUUGUACACCUCGCCCUUCACCCCUCCCAGAUCAAAGUCCAGAUUAAAGAGAUGGAUAGAGAGAGAGAGAGCGCAACAAUAGCACGGGAGAGAUAGAGAGAGAGGAGCGGCGGUGAUGGAGGAACCGACCAUCGUCUCCCGUCGGUCACCCUCUUGGCCUUCGGUCAGACCGGUGGUGGGUUGUGGUGGUUAAGACGGUGAAACGAUGGUAGAAGGCGGUGGUAGACGAGGGUUCCAACAUGAUAGUAUGACGACAACAAUGUUAUCGGUGGUAGGUAAAGCCGACAAUGACGGCUGGGGGUUCUAGGGUUCCGACGAGGAUACCGGUGACUCUCAUCGGACGAUCUAGAGAAAGAAGGUGAUUUUGAACUACCGCGAUCUUAGAGACUUGAAUUAGUGUUCCCGUGAAGUUGGCUAGGUUUCCGGCGAGAAUUCCGGGACAAGCUUGGAUCAAUAGAGCUUCCCGGAGUCGUAGCUUGGCGUGGAAAGUUGGCGAUAAACACCCAGGUUUUGCAGGCCAACAAGGG